GGCUCUGCGACGUCCGCAGCGUGCGAUA
rnacentral:sRNA from 1 species